GGACUGUUGUCCUCGGAGGAGUGAAAAGUACGACGCCAACAUGCCGGUCAAGCUGGACAACUUGGACUACAAAAUUAAACCAAAUGCCGCCGGCCUUCUAAAGGUCGAGGUCAAGGUCGAACUGCUCAAACAGGAACCGGAACUGUCAACAGCUAGAUGAUCAGCUCGGACAAGAACAACUAUUGCGUGGGGCACGUUCUGGACUCGGGCGAGAUUCCGGAUGCGCUCAAAGCAGCUCGUUCCCGUUCGGCAUCUUUGACCACUUUGACACAUUCUACUCCACGAUCGACCAUGCGGGCCAACCGGCCAGCUGUCGGGUACGACCCUGUUGCGCGCGAAGAAGGUUUCAGAUGAGCUGGUUCAGUCGGAACUACCGCAGGCGGACCGGGUGGUGGUGAGGUGGAGGACUGGGCCAACAAGCGGAACCGGUAUAUCAUGUAGCUGUACGAUCUGUUUCAACUGCCGCCUCGGCUUACUUGUUUGAGAUCAAGGGAACCGAAAGUGGAAUGCAGCAGAAUGAGCAGUUCCAGUGCAGUGGGAACGAACCGUACGACGCGCUGACGCGGAAGGACUUGGUGCAGCAUUUACGCGGGUCACGUCAGGCUGGACUUGCCCAAAGAGAGAGAGAGAGUUUGUACCUGAAGCCUGCUUUGAUCUGAACCUGAAUUUCGUUAAGUGCAAGACCAUCAGGGACGACACGCUCUCAUCAACCAGCGGUCCCACUUUUAUCUAAACUCGAAGCUUCCGAACUACUAAUAACCGGCAUGGUACAGCUGCGCCGUUUCCUAUCGCAAGCGAUUUCAAGUCAAGGAUGGAGCUGGCAUCGAAAAUGCAACCGUUGCGCUGGAUGGGGCGUACGACAUUGAUCAACCUCCUGC